rnacentral:rRNA from 1 species
GACGAACGCUGGCGGCGUGCUUAACACAUGCAAGUCGAACGAAGAGCGAUGGACGCUUGCUUCUAUCACUCUUAGUGGCGAACGGGUGAGUAACGCGUAAUCAACCUGCCCUUCAGAGGGGGACAACAGUUGGAAACGACUGCUAAUACCGCAUACGAUCUAAUCUCGGCAUCGAGGAUAGAUGAAAGGUGGCCUCUACAUGUAAGCUAUCACUGAAGGAGGGGAUUGCGUCUGAUUAGCUAGUUGGAGGGGUAACGGCCCACCAAGGCGAUGAUCAGUAGCCGGUCUGAGAGGAUGAACGGCCACAUUGGGACUGAGACACGGCCCAGACUCCUACGGGAGGCAGCAGUGGGGAAUCUUCCGCAAUGGACGAAAGUCUGACGGAGCAACGCCGCGUGAGUGAUGACGGCCUUCGGGUUGUAAAGCUCUGUUAAUCGGGACGAAAGGCCUUCUUGCGAAUAGUGAGAAGGAUUGACGGUACCGGAAGAGAAAGCCACGGCUAACUACGUG